rnacentral:rRNA from 1 species
AAAUUGAAGAGUUUGAUCAUGGCUCAGAUUGAACGCUGGCGGCAGGCCUAACACAUGCAAGUCGAACGGUAACAGGAAGCAGCUUGCUGCUUUGCUGACGAGUGGCGGACGGGUGAGUAAUGUCUGGGAAACUGCCUGAUGGAGGGGGAUAACUACUGGAAACGGUAGCUAAUACCGCAUAACGUCGCAAGACCAAAGAGGGGGACCUUAGGGCCUCUUGCCAUCGGAUGUGCCCAGAUGGGAUUAGCUUGUUGGUGGGGUAACGGCUCACCAAGGCGACGAUCCCUAGCUGGUCUGAGAGGAUGACCAGCCACACUGGAACUGAGACACGGUCCAGACUCCUACGGGAGGCAGCAGUGGGGAAUAUUGCACAAUGGGCGCAAGCCUGAUGCAGCCAUGCCGCGUGUAUGAAGAAGGCCUUCGGGUUGUAAAGUACUUUCAGCGGGGAGGAAGGGAGUAAAGUUAAUACCUUU